CAAAAUGAAUAAACUUUAAAAAAAGAAUUUAGAAUUUCUAUUAUUUUUCCAUAUUUUAAAAAAGUUACUACACCUUAAAAUUACUGUUUUACUUUUUCAACAUAGUGCUAUUACUUUCCCAGAACUGCAUACAGUAAAAUCUAUGAAAAACUUAUUUUAUGUAAUAGACUAACUGAGGUUUUACAGUUUAGGUUUUUAAAUAAUAUGUUCAAAGAGAGUCUAUUUACUAUCUGUUUUAAGUACAGACAGUUGUUAUUAUGGCUCAAUUAAUGUUUCAACUGUAUCGUGGCAGGUAAUCCAUAGGCAUUUAGCAGAAACUGUACUUCAGAGUUUGAAUUUUGAUCUUUCCCCAGGUUAGCAGUAUACAGUGUGAUACUUGUGAUGCUGGGGCAGUCAGUCAACAGUCAGCUCCCAGUCAGCCACCUGAUCACAAGAGAAAACAACUGAUACACUUGCAACCAUUCUGUUUUUCACUUUCAGUAUUCAAUAAAUUACAGGAAGUAUUCAAUACUUCAUUAUAAAAUAGACUGUGUGUUAGAUGAUUUUGCCCAACUGUUGGUUAAUGUAAUGUUCUGAGCACAUUUAAGGUCGCUAGGUUAAGCUAUGACGUGUAAGAUCAUACGUAUAUUAGGUAUGUUAAAUGCAUUGCUGAUUUAAGAUAUUUCCAGUUUGCCAUGAGUUUAUCAGGAUAUAAUCCCACUGUAAAUUGAGGAAGAUCUAUACUAUAAUAAAAUAACUUUGUACCUAUUUUCUUUAGAA